AACGUAGGAGGCUAGCGUUAUCCGGAUUUAUUGGGCGUAAAGCGCGUGCAGGCGGUCUAGUUAGUUGGAUGUGAAAGCUCCUGGCUUAACUGGGAGAGGUCGUUCAAUACUGCUAGACUAGAGAAUGGGAGAGGGAGGUGGAAUUCCGGGUGUAGUGGUGAAAUGCGUAGAUAUCCGGAGGAACACCAGUGGCGAAAGCGGCCUCCUAGACCACUUCUGACGCUAAGACGCGAAAGCUAGGGUAGCAAACGGGAUUAGAGACCCCGGUAGUCCUAGCCGUAAACGAUGUGGACUUGGCGUUGGCGGAGUUAAAUCUGCCAGUGCCGAAGCUAACGCGAUAAGUCCACCGCCUGGGGACUACGACCGCAAGGUUAAA
rnacentral:rRNA from 1 species